GGCGUGGUUAAAUUCGUCCCACAUUCAUUGUACUUAUGUGAAGUGCCUUAGAAAACGCGGGUGGCGGCUUCAGUCAUGAUGAUGUCGAGAAUUGGUAGAAUCAGCAUGCUGCUGGAGGCAGCUCGGGUGAUGGAGGAGGCUGAACGGUUACUCCACGUUCAUGUCAAAGAGGAAACAGUUGAGAUAGAAGAUGACGACACA